rnacentral:rRNA from 1 species
UACGUAGGGUGCUAACGUUGUUCGGAAUCACUGGGCAUAAAGCGCGUGUAGGCGGUCCAUUAAGUCCUGUGUGAAAUCCCCCGGCAUAACCGGGGAACGGCACAGGAUACUGUUGGGCUAGAGUGCAGGAGGGGAGAGUGGAAUUCCUGGUGGAGCGGUGAAAUGCGUAGAUAUCAGGAGGAACGCCGGUGGCGAAAGCGACUCUCUGGUCUGCCACUGACGCUGAGGCGCGAAAGCUAGGGGAGCAAACGGG